AAAAUGUAAAAUGAAAAAAAAAAGACCCACAAUCAACACCAUAGAAAUAUAAUCAAUUACUGUAGAACAGUAUGAAAAAUGAUAUGCCAACAAUCUGGACAACCUAGAGGAAGUAGACAAAUUCCUAGACACCCACACCCUACAACAACUCAAAAUGGGAAGGAAUAGAAAGUUUGAACAGACCCCAUAACUAGCUAAGAAAUUGAAUCAAUUAUAAAAAAUCUCCCCCAAAAAUAAGAGUCCUGGUCCAGUUGGAUUCUGAGGGGAAAUCUACCAGAAAUUUAAAGCAGAGUUAAUAUUGCUUCUUUGAGAAGGAUAGGUUCCAAAAAGUAGAAACAGAAGGAAAGCUUCUGGACUCAUUCUAUAAAUGAAUAUUACCUUGAUUUUUAAACCAGACAGAGACCUCACAAAAUAAGAGAAUAACAGACCAAUAUCCAUGAUGAACAUGGAUGCUAAAAUUCCCAACAAGAUAGUAUCAAACUGAUAUCAAUAGUACAC